rnacentral:misc_RNA from 1 species
UCCGGCUUAUCACCGGCGGUUCCUUUAGAGUACCCAACUAAAUGAUGGUAACUAAAGGCGAGGGUUGCGCUCGUUGCGGGACUUAACCCAACAUCUCACGGCACGAGCUGACGACAGCCAUGCAGCACCUGUGUCCCAGUCCCCGAAGGGAAGGAAUCCAUCUCUGGAAACCGUCCGGGCAUGUCAAACGCAGGUAAGGUUCUGCGCGUUGCUUCGAAUUAAACCACAUGCUCCACCGCUUGUGCAGGCCCCCGUCAAUUCAUUUGAGUUUUAACCUUGCGGCCGUACUCCCCAGGCGGAUAACUUAAUGCGUUAGCUGCGCCACCUAAACACCAAGUGUCCAGACAGCUAGUUAUCAUCGUUUACGGCAUGGACUAC